GAGAUAUGAAGUUAAAAAUCUAUAAUUCACCCUCAAUUAUAUUACAUUACGAAAUGGAAUUAUUCAUUGUCGCUCCUUUAUAUUUUAAUGGUAAUCAGUUUACUUCUAAUUGCUCUGUUAACAAAAGGACAAAUUCUUCAAUAGGUCAUUGGUCAUCUUGUUUGCUGUGGAGGUAUAAGGCAAGACUAUUAUUGGAGUGUAACCAAGAACAUUCAAUUCUACCCCCACAAUAAACAGGAUGACCAAUAACCUUUUAAAGAAUUCUUCCUUCUAUUGAUGGAGUCAUUAAAAGUAAAUUGAUAACCAGUAAAAUAAAGAGAGCACUGAUGAACAAUUUCAUUUUGUAAUGUAAUUGAAGGGGGCUUGUAGGUGUUUAACUUCACCUCUCCAGGUACUAUAUAAAGGAAGAAAUCUGGGACAGAAAAACCAUUGCAGCUUCCUGCUACAGAUUGAAGCCCCGGACGCAAUCAUGAUAAGAUCUGCAAGAGAAGCCGACCAAAGAUGGAUAUUGCUUCCGGAUCCGGCAACAAGAUGACAUCUUUCUUCGAAUCUGGCUUUCAGUUCCUUGUUUUCUACUGUUUGGCCUUUCUUUGAUUCGGCGAUGGGUUUUAUCUACUUGGAAGCUACCCUAAUGAGUAUCCGGUUGGAGAGGUCCUACCAACUGCUGGUGAAGGUCAACUCACUUACCUCCAUCGAGACUGAGCUUCCUUUCAGCUACUACAAUCUUCCAUUCUGCUGUCCUCAAGAUGGAAUUAAGGAUAACACUGAGAAUCUUGAGGAGCUCCUAAUGAGAGACGGAUCUAAGCAGGGCUGGACUGACAACCCUGUUCUGGAUCCGUCUCUAGUUCCUUGUACGGACGAUCUAACAUUGCAAGUAUUUGUGAGAAAUAAUCCUCUCCACGUCAUUUUUUUUAUGUUUUAUUAUCUUGAUAAUUAGUUAUUACUUGGUCUAGAUCCUAUUUUUAUGGAUCUCAUCUAGAUCCUAUUUUUAUGGAUCUUGUGUUCGUGCUCUUAUCAUUUGUGAUGCUAUAUAAAGAGUCCUAGAGGCAUGUAGAAGGCAUCUCAUUGUAAGGUUUCCUUUCAUAAGUGAAGUUCCUAUUUGUCC